CGGUUAACCUUACUGGGGGUGCUAUUAAGGGUGUGUACUAAGAGGAUAUAUAUGUAAUAUGGAAAGACGUUUACGAAAUGUAUCGGUGAGGCAUUGCUUCAUCAAUGUUCUUGGCAGAAAUUUAAUCAAGUUGAAUGGCAAAUCCUGUCCAUAAGCAUCUAGACGUACAAAAGAAGAUCCGAUGAUGAAGUGAAGGUUAAUAUUUCAGCAGCUGUCCACGUUUCAAAAAUACUGUUAACUCCAGAUACAUGAUAGUAACAUUAUUUUAUUAAUAUUACUAUUAAUUUAUAUGAAUGCUUUUUCGAAUGCAUGUACAUGUAUUUAUUUCUGUAUACUAGUAUGCGAUCAAAAAGAUGUUUUAAAAACCCCCAACAAAACCCUUUUCUGUGCCUUUGUAGAUGUCAAAUAAGCGUGAUACUGUACACUAAAAGUACAUUUUUAGAGAAAAUAAAACUUUACAAUUUUGAUGUGAUGAGAAGUAACUUUGUCUCAAAUUUUGUUUUUUUUCAAUAGUUUAGGAAUUCUUAGGGAGUGAAAAGAUUACAGAUUUGGAAAGAUUUUUCCUAAGCUGAUAUUUCUGUCAAUCCUGACCAAAGCAACUUUUAAAGUCCUAUGACUUUUGCCAUUGAGUAUGUCUCUAAAGUGCACUUGUUUUGAAUGAUCUGUUUUUUGAUUUUGUUUGUCAAUACUGUAAAAACGAACAUUUUGGUAGUACAUUUGCCAAAAGCUCGAUGCAAAGGGAUUUUUAAUAAAAAAAAGAUUAUUACUGUAGAAUAUGUAAAUGGUACGGAAUAUCACUUAAUACAGAGAAUGAUUAAAUAAAUUCUUCAAGCUUAAUUCCAAUUGAAAAAGUUGUAUAUUAUACAUGUGUGUUCAACCAUGCAGGGACGUAUAUACUCUUAUUCUGAAAGUAAAGAUUCAUCCAUCAAAGCAUUGAAAGUACUGGAAGCUGCUAGAGUUAAAAAAAAUCGAUGACGUAAUUAUACGGAUGAUAUUUGAGUUGGACAUGCAUUUAUUUUUAAGUCUCGUAUAAACAGAUUCAUAGGAUUGUUUCAGACGCACUAGUUUUUUAAAUUUUGUAUCAAUCCAUGCAUUAAUCAAUUAUUUAUGGUUGAAAUUGCGUUCAUACUGGCCGUUACGCUACUUGGCGCAAGUAUUUUAUAAGGGUUCUGUUUGUGUUGAUUUACGUGUUUACACCCAUCAUAUACGUGCAACUCAUGUUGAAACAUAUCAAAUAAAAACACAUAAUCAAACGG
rnacentral:sRNA from 1 species